AACGAACGCUGGCGGCAUGCCUAACACAUGCCAGUCGAACGAGACCUUCGGGUCUAGUGGCGCACGGGUGCGUAACGCGUGGGAACCUGCCCUUAGGUUCGGAAUAACUCCCCGAAAGGGGUGCUAAUACCGGAUAAUUUCUUCGGACCAAUGAUUUAUCGGCUUUGGAUGGGCCCGCGUUGGAUUAGCUAGUUGGUAGGGUAAAAGCCUACCAAGGCGACGAUCCAUAGCUGGUCUGAGAGGAUGAUCAGCCACACUGGGACGGAGACACGGCCCAGACACCGACGGGAGGCAGCAGUGGGGAAUAAUGGACAAUGGGCGAAAGCCGGAUCCAGCAAUGCCGCGUGAGUGAUGAAGGGGGUAGGGAUGUAAAGCUCUUUUACCCGGGAUGAUAAUGACAGUACCGGGAGAAUAAGCUCCGGCUAACUCCGU
rnacentral:rRNA from 1 species